rnacentral:rRNA from 1 species
AGCUGGAAUCGCUAGUAAUCGCGGAUCAGAAUGCCGCGGUGAAUACGUUCCCGGGUCUUGUACACACCGCCCGUCACACCAUGGGAGUCGGAAAUGCCCGAAGUCUGUGACCCAACCUUAGGGAGGGAGCAGCCGAAGGCAGGUCGGAUGACUGGGGGUGAAGUCGUAACAAGGUACC